rnacentral:rRNA from 1 species
UUUAUGGAGAGUUUGAUCCUGGCUCAGGAUGAACGCUGGCGGCGUGCCUAAUACAUGCAAGUCGAGCGAACGGAUGAGAAGCUUGCUUCUCUGAUGUUAGCGGCGGACGGGUGAGUAACACGUGGAUAACCUACCUAUAAGACUGGGAUAACUUCGGGAAACCGGAGCUAAUACCGGAUAAUAUUUUGAACCGCAUGGUUCAAAAGUGAA